rnacentral:tRNA from 1 species
GGAGAGGUGGCCGAGUGGCUGAAGGCGACAGUUUGCUAAACUGUUUUACGGGCUUAAACCUGUAACGCGGGUUCGAAUCCCGCCCUCUCCG